rnacentral:rRNA from 1 species
UACGAAGGGGGCUAGCGUUGCUCGGAAUCAUUGGGCGUAAAGCGCACGUAGGCGGUUCGUUAUGUCGGAUGUGAAAGCCCUUGGCUUAACCGAGGAAGUGCAUCCGAAACUGGCGAGCUAGAGUACUAAAGAGGAUCGCGGAAUUCCCGGUGUAGAGGUGAAAUUCGUAGAUAUCGGGAGGAACACCGGUGGCGAAGGCGGCGAUCUGGGUAGAUACUGACGCUGAGGUGCGAAAGCGUGGGGGAGCAAACAGGG